AUCCUUUCCCAGUUCAUAAGCACGAUGAUCAGGUUUUUACACACUUGUGUGAUAUGCCUCCCUUCAACCUUGUUACGACGUUGGCACAUGACCCUUCUGACA